AGUGGAACUGCUGGGUAAUAUGGUAAUUCUAUGUUUAACUUUUUUAGGAACUGCCAAAUUAUUUUCCAAAGUGGUUGCACCAUUUUACAUUCCCACCAGCAU
rnacentral:pre_miRNA from 1 species